rnacentral:rRNA from 1 species
CUACGGGAUGCAGCAGUGGGGAAUAUUGGACAAUGGGGGAAACCCUGAUGCAGCAACGCCGCGUGGAGGAUGACGCAUUUCGGUGUGUAAACUCCUUUUAUAUGUCAAGAAAAUGACGGCAGCAUAUGAAUAAGCACCGGCUAACUCCGUGCCAGCAGCCGCGGUAAUACGGAGGGUGCAAGCGUUACUCGGAAUCACUGGGCGUAAAGGACGCGUAGGCGGGUUGGAAAGUCAGGUGUGAAAUACUACAGCUUUACUGUAGAACUGCACUUGAAACUUCUAAUCUAGAGUAUGGGAGGGGGAGAUGGAAUUAGUGGUGUAGGGGUAAAAUCCGUAGAUAUCACUAGGAAUACCUAAAGCGAAGGCGAUCUCCUGGAACAUUACUGACGCUAAGGCGUGAAAGCGUGGGGAGCAAACAGGAUUAGAUACCCGUGUAGUC